rnacentral:lncRNA from 1 species
ACUGAGUGGGGGAGUAUGGUCAAUUUGGUGAGUUGCACAAAACUGUACGAUACUUUUUUUUUCGAUAUAUCCUAAAAGAUAGAUAAAUAUAAAUCUAGAUCUAGAACUAAAAUGUUGUAACAAAUUAAAAAAUGAGACAUAAUAAUCACGUGACGUCUAGUAUUUUGGCGACAAUAGUUACAACUGUUAUUGCAAUUGAGUCAAAACUCUAUUUUGGGGGCUAAUUUUCACGAUUAGGUUAUUUCUGUCAGCUUGCGCCCAGACGUCCGUACGUCACGUUUAGUACGUACGUGUCUUAGACCUAGAUUCUACUUAGUUUACUUCAUUUUCUCGGUGUUGCUGAUAUUCACUCAAAUUUGAGCUUACACACUUUCCGUAGAACAUCAACAUGUAAUUGUUGGAUCUGACCAUUUCUCUGAGAUGAUGGAUACUAUGAUUUCUUGAUUGACGAAUGCAUUAUUGACCAUGAUGAGUACACAGUACAGAGUGGACAGCAAAGAACACCUGGAACAUGUCUCAAAGAAAUGUCUGGAGGAGGAUCAAGAAAAUCAAAGAAACCACACAAGAAAGAUCAUCUGCAGGAGGGGAGCUCUGUGGUUCGCUGGCUUUGGAUGGAACGCAACCAGGCCACCUAGCUCUUCAACAUCUCAGGCAAUGUGAACACUCCCUGUACCGUGGAGGAGUCCAAGUCUACCCUCUCAAGUUCUUGAUUGAGAAGCACGCUGGUGGUGUAGAGGGCGGUUGGGAUAACCUCUUGGCUGUCAACCCAGGGGGUGCAUCUACUUCUAUGAUCCCUAAAGAAUCAUCUGCAGGAGGGGAGAUCUGUGGUUCGCUGGCUUUGGACGUGAACGCAACCAGGCCACCAAUCUCUUCAACAUCUCAGGCAAGUGAACACUCCCUGUACCGUGGAGAAGUCCAAGUCUACCCCUCUCAAGUUCUUGAUUGAGAAGCACGCUGGUGGUGUAGAGGGCGGUUGGGAUAACCUCUUGGCUGUCAACCCAGGGGGUUCAUCUACUUCUAUGAUCCCUAAAGAGUGAGUAUUAAUGCCCCUCUGCACUAGAUCAGCCAGGAGGGAUUAGAGGGAUUAGUGUGGUCACUGAAAGGUGGUUAUCUCAUCAACUGAGCUCUUAAUUAACAUAAGAAAAAGAGGAUAAUGGGAGACUAAUGGGCACCGCUUAGUUAUGCAUUAUCCUGUCAACAAGCAUCAUUGCAGGAACUUUGAGGAUUUUCAAUCUCUGUUUCUUCCCCAUUAUGCUAAC